rnacentral:rRNA from 1 species
GUACACGCUGUGACUAGCAUAUCAAUAAGCGGAGGAAAAGAAACUAACAAGGAUUCCCCUAGUAACGGCGAGUGAAGCGGGAAGAGCUCAAAUUUGAAAUCUUAAAGGGUUUCCCUUUACGAAUUGUAGUUUAAAGAAGUGUUUUCUGUUGAGGUUUUCGGUAAAAGUUCUUUGGAAUAGGACAUCAUAGAGGGUGAGAAUCCCGUAUUUGACCUUUACUUUCAACUUUGUGAUACACUUUCAAAGAGUCGGAUUGUUUGGGAAUGCAGUCCAAAAUGGGUGGUAAAUUUCAUCUAAAGCUAAAUAUUGGCGAGAGACCGAUAGCGAACAAGUACCGUGAGGGAAAGAUGAAAGAACUUUGAAAAGAGAGUUAAACAGUACGUGAAAUUGUCAAAAGGGAAGCGUUUGACACCAGUGUUGUUUUUCUGAAAAUCAAUUAAAGAACUGUUUAUGCUAAGUUGUUUAGACUUUAUCAGCUAACUGUUUAGUUUUGAGCUUUUCUUUAAUGCACUUUUCAGUUAACAAGUCAACAUCAAUUUCUUUUGCUGUAAAAAAGCUUGAGGAAGGUGGCUUGAGAUUCGUCUUAAGUGUUUAUAGCCUCUUGCCUAUGCAGUCGGAGAGAUUGAGGUCUGCAGCGUAGAUCCUUCGGGGCUAAAUGCAUUUGUGCUAAGUUAUAAGCAUUUUAUAGACAACUUGUUGACUAUGAUUUGUCUUGUAGCUUACUCGCUUAUGUUAUUUUACCUACGCUUAGGAUGUUGACAGCAGUAUAGACUGU